UACGUAGGCAGCAAGCGUUGUUCGGAGUUACUGGGCGUAAAGGGUGCGUAGGCGGCCUUAUAAGUAUGGUGUGAAAUCUCCCGGCUUAACUGGGAGGGUGCGCUAUAGACUGUGGGGCUAGAGUGUGGGAGAGGAAAGUGGAAUUCCUGGUGUAGCGGUGAAAUGCGUAGAUAUCAGGAGGAACACCGGUGGUGUAAACGGCUUUCUGGACCAUAACUGACGCUGAGGUACGAAAGCGUGGGUAGCAAACAGG
rnacentral:rRNA from 1 species